UUCUCCGUCUCGUUUAUCAACUACCCAAGAGACAAGAUGAUGUGAAAGUUUGAAAUUUUGAUUUCAAAAUCACCAUGUAGUUACUUUUGUUGUACUGAACUGAGUUUUGUUUUUUUUUUAAACUUCUCAAA
ensembl:ncRNA C31H2.12 ncRNA